CAGGAUGAACGCUGGCGGCGUGCCUAAUACAUGCAAGUCGAACGAGGUAGCAAUACCGAGUGGCGAACGGGUGAGUAACACGUAGGUAACCUGCCCUUAAGCUUGGGAUACCCAGAGGAAACUUUGGCUAAUACCGGAUAACAACAGAGAAGGCAUCUUCUUUGCUUGAAAGGCCCCUUCAAGGGUCACUUAAGGAUGGACCUGCGGCGCAUUAGCUAGUUGGUGAGAUAACAGCCCACCAAGGCGAGGAUGCGUAGCCGAACUGAGAGGUUGAUCGGCCACAUUGGAACUGAGACACGGUCCAAACUCCUACGGGAGGCAGCAGUAAGGAGUUUUCGGCAAUGGGGGAAACCCUGACCGAGCAACGCCGCGUGAGCGAUGACGGUCCUUUGGAAUUGUAAAGCUCUGUUGUAAGCCAUGAAUGACAGCUUGAGGAAAUGCAAGUUGUUUGACGACAGCUUACCAGAAAGCCACGGCUAACUACGUGCCAGCCGCGGC
rnacentral:rRNA from 1 species